ensembl:lncRNA
GCUCCGUUGUGUGUGUGUGAGUGAGUGUGUGUGAGUUUUUAAAUGUCAGAAAGCCCACGCACCGCCUCCACUGCUCGCGGGACUCUCCCAGGAUGCUGGACCCUCACGCCGGGCACAGAGUGGCAGGCUGCUUGAUUCUGCUCUCCCUCCUCCACAUCAACUUGUCUGCUGGCAGCUCAGGAAAAGGCUCACAGAGCCACGAUGAUAUGCAUGUCAUCCACAACAAUCAACUGGAUUGAAUGUGGUCAGCUGGCUGGGGAUUGGCUGUAAAAAACCCCGGCGCUGUCUGCUGUGACGGUCAUGCUUAGUUUGGUCAGGAAACUGCAAUCCAAUUCCCCUCCAUGUAGCACGUCUGUUGGACGGCUCGGAUGGAACGCGACGAAGAGCGAAUUGGGGGUUGGGGCAGUUUUUACAAAAAGGAUGAUGCUGGGCCAUCUCGGCACCGCGAGUACAAUAAUGUGAAUCACUGGAGCCUGGCAGCUUUUACACCAGCACAAUCAGCCGCUGGUUGAGGAAGUGGGGCCCGUUGACUAUGGAAAUGAGCUAUCGACGUCCUCUGUCAUCUCUGAAUACAUGCUGCCGAUGAAGAGCUCCGGAUCCGUCAUGGCGCUGUCGUUGUUCCCACAGCAGCCUGAUGGCCCCUCUCGGCAAACGGCUGAGAGCAAACACUCCUGUGGCCGCUGUGGUGACCAGACAUACCUGCUCUCUGACACGGAUGGAGAUGACAGAGCUCCAGGAGGGCCUGGAGGUCAGCGUGCUCUCCGCUCUCCUGCCGCUUGGAAACUUCUGUCCGUAUCGCUUAGAGUCACUGAGGGAACCAGAACACUGCGCAAGCUCCGUUCAGGUCCAGAUAUUUACUUCAAUCUCCCGCCAAGAAGUGCAAACAAGCAUUUCAAUUUUGUCAUCGUCGGGUAUUCCAUCAGUCUGAUUCUCUGCCCUCUUGUAGGCGGAAGAGCCUUCGCACAAGGUUGCCAUGGAC